UACGGGGGCAGCAGUGGGGAAUAUUGCACAAUGGGCGCAAGCCUGAUGCAGCGACGCCGCGUGGGGGAUGACGGCCUUCGGGUUGUAAACCUCUUUCAGCCUCGACGAAGCUCCGGGGUGUCUCGGGGUGACGGUAGGGGCAGAAGAAGCACCGGCCAACUACGUGCCAGCAGCCGCGGUAA
rnacentral:rRNA from 1 species